CAAAUGUAUAUUAUAUUUAAUUAUAUUCAAAUCUAUUGCUAGUGAAACACGUAAUUAAAGCGAGAGAAUAUGAUUUUUGUAUUUUUAUCAGUUUUUAUAUUAUCUCACCAAUGUACUAUUGUAUUUUGUCAAGAGUAUCCACGUCCAGUGAAGGAAAUAUAUCAAUAUAACACUAUUGAAGGUUGUAAUUGCCCCAACAGUCCAAAAUUGUUAAAUAUGAAUGAAAAUCUAGGAAAUUUGGUGAAAUUAACCAGUCCGGGAAAUAGUGUUGAUGAAUUGUCCUCUAUAAACUUGACCCCCAAUUUUCUGGGCCUCAAUGAAGUGUCGCCCAUCAGUGUGGUCCCUUACAAUCUCAACGCAACACCGGUCAAAGUUAACAUAUUCCGAUAUUUUGAUACAUCAAAAACCGCGCCGAAUGUAGCACAAAGUGAUACCACGAGAACACCUUUAGCUCCAGGGCCCUUGAGAACCGGAUCCCUGAUCGGUGGCUCAUCGAACGGCUUGACGUCUGACCUUGCAGUUUCCGGAAGUAUCACCGGUUCUAACCAGAGUCGCACAAAUGCUGAUGCAGCUUCAGGCGAUGCAAAAAUAGGUGCAGCAUCAAUCAGACCGACGUUGACAGGAAUUAACACGAAAGAAACAAAGGCUACGAAGAAUAUAGAAUCUCUCGGUUUAGACUUGAUCGCUUCUCUGUUGGGAUUGCCCCCUCUGCUUGAGGCGAAGUUUAGCUUUGUAUAAUUAAAUAUUUCCAGUGUUA